UAACGACUCUCGGCAACGGAUAUCUUGGCUCUCGCAUCGAUGAAGAACGCAGCAAAAUGCGAUACUUGGUGUGAAUUGCAGAAUCCCGUGAAUCAUCGAGUUUUUGAACGCAAGUUGCGCCCGAAGCCUUUYGGCCGAGGGCACGUCUGCCUGGGUGUCACGC
rnacentral:rRNA from 1 species